rnacentral:tRNA from 1 species
UUCUCGUUAGUAUAGUGGACAGUAUCUCCGCCUGUCACGCGGAAGACCGGGGUUCGAUUCCCCGACGGGGAG